rnacentral:rRNA from 1 species
CGGCGGACGGGUGAGUAACGCGUGGGUAACCUGCCUCAUACAGGGGGAUAACAGUUAGAAAUGACUGCUAAUACCGCAUAAGACCACGGUACCGCAUGGUACAGUGGUAAAAACUCCGGUGGUAUGAGAUGGACCCGCGUCUGAUUAGGUAGUUGGUGGGGUAACGGCCUACCAAGCCAACGAUCAGUAGCCGACCUGUGAGGGUGACCGGCCACAUUGGGACUGAGACACGGCCCAG